AGGGAAUAGAUACCCCAGGUAGUCCUGGCAGUAAACGGUGCGCGUUUGGUGUGGGAGGAAUCGACCCCUUCCGUGCCGGAGCUAAACGCGUUAAAAACGCGCCGCCUGGGGAGUACGGUCGCAAGAUUAAAACUCAAAGAAAUUGACGGGGGCCCGCACAAGCGGUGGAGUAUGUGGCUUAAUUCGAUGCAACGCGAAGAACCUUACCUGGGCUUGACAUGCAUCUCUAAGUCGGUGAAAGCCGGCGAGUCCCGCAAGGGACGAUUUGCACAGGUGCUGCAUGGCUGUCGUCAGCUCGUGUCGUGAGAUGUU
rnacentral:rRNA from 1 species